AGCAGCAUGGCGCAGUGGUAGCGCGCGGGGCCCAUAUGUAUCAGCAUGCUCUUAUGCGUAGCCUUUGUACCCCGAGGUCACUUGAUCGAAACAAGUUGCUGCUA